rnacentral:tRNA from 1 species
CAGGGUAUAACAUGUAUUGUUGUUUUCAGUUACGUUGAAUAUAUUUUUUGUGUGAUUCAAAAUGCCUUGA